AGUCCUGUGGUGUAGUGGCCAAUCAUAAAGCCUUCUGGGGGCUUUGACGGUGGUUCGAAUCCACCCAGGACUA
rfam:uncultured archaeon A07HR60 genomic scaffold scf7180000001775, whole genome shotgun sequence.